UCAUUCUAACAACGAACAUUUUUUUAAAGGGAAUAUAAGUAAGGGGGAAAGAAACCAAUUUUUUGUUCUUUACAUGUAUUCCCGCUGUUAUAAAUUUACAUCGGAGCACUCUCACUAUUGAUAAAUAGGUUUCAUGCUAAAACAAAUAUUCUCAGAUAUUUACACAGUGUGGUGGGGUGCUUUUAUGUUUAAAAUCGUUAUAUACAGGUUAGACUGUGAUUUUAAAA
rnacentral:lncRNA from 1 species